rnacentral:rRNA from 1 species
AGAUUGAACGCUGGCGGCAUGCUUUACACAUGCAAGUCGAACGGUAACAGGCCGCAAGGUGCUGACGAGUGGCGAACGGGUGAGUAAUGCAUCGGAACGUGCCCAGUCGUGGGGGAUAACGCAGCGAAGCUGUGCUAAUACCGCAUACGAUCUAUGGAUGAAAGGCGGGGGACCGAAAGGCCUCGCGCGAUUGGAGCGGCCGAUGUCAGUAUUAGCGUAGUUGGUGGGGUAAAGGCCCACCAAGGCGACGAUCUGUAGCUGGUCUGAGAGGACGACAGCCACACUGGACUGAGACACGGUCCAGACUCCGUACGGGAGGCAGCAGGUAGGGGUAAUUUUGGAACAAGUGGGUACGACGAAGCCUUGAUCCGAGACC